AGUGUUAGGUGUCUGGAGUCAAAUCUGGGUGCCGCAGCAAACGCAUUAAACACUCCGCCUGGGGAGUACGCACGCAAGUGUGAAACUCAAAGGAAUUGACGGGGACCCGCACAAGCAGCGGAGCAUGUGGUUUAAUUCGACGCAACGCGAAGAACCUUACCAAGUCUUGACAUAUUACAGAAGCAGUUAGGGAUAAUUGCUUACAUCUUCGGAUGACUGUAAUACAGGUGGUGCAUGGUUGUCGUCAGCUCGUGUCGUGAGAUGUUGGGUUAAGUCCCAUAACGAGCGCAACCCCUAUUGCUAGUUACCAUCAUUAAGUUGGGGACUCUAGUAAUACUGCCGGUGACAAACCGGAGGAAGGUGGGGAUGACGUCAAAUCAUCAUGCCCUUUAUGACUUGGGCUACACACGUGCUACAAUGGCAGGUACACAGGGUUGCAAGACUGCGAAGUUAAGCGAAACUCAAAAAGCCUGUCCCAGUUCGGAUUGCACUCUGCAACUCGAGUGCAUGAAGUUGGAGUUGCUAGUAAUCGUGGAUCAGAAUGCCGCGGUGAAUGCGUUCCCGGGUCUUGUACACACCGCCCGUCACACCAUGGAAGUUGGCAAUACCCGAAGCCUGUGAGCGAACCCUUGGGGCGCAGCAGUCGAAGGUAGGGU
rnacentral:rRNA from 1 species